UGGGGAAUAUUGCACAAUGGGCGCAAGCCUGAUGCAGCCAUGCCGCGUGUAUGAAGAAGGCCUUCGGGUUGUAAAGUACUUUCAGCGGGGAGGAAGGGAGUAAAGUUAAUACCUUUGCUCAUUGACGUUACCCGCAGAAGAAGCACCGGCUAACUCCGUGCCAGCAGCCGCGGUAAUACGGAGGGUGCAAGCGUUAAUCGGAAUUACUUGGCGUAAAGCGCACGCAGGCGGUUUGUUAAGUCAGAUGUGAAAUCCCCGGGCUCAACCUGGGAACUGCAUCUGAUACUGGCAAGCUUGAGUCUCGUAGAGGGGGGUAGAAUUCCAGGUGUAGCGGUGAAAUGCGUAGAGAUCUGGAGGAAUACCGGUGGCGAAGGCGGCCCCCUGGACGAAGACUGACGCUCAGGUGCGAAAGCGUGGGGAGCAAACAGG
rnacentral:rRNA from 1 species